AGCGUACACGGUGGAUGCCCUGGCAGUCAGAGGCGAUGAAGGACGUGCUAAUCUGCGAUAAGCGUCGGUAAGGUGAUAUGAACCGUUAUAACCGGCGAUUUCCGAAUGGGGAAACCCAGUGUGAUUCGUCACACUAUCAUUAACUGAAUCCAUAGGUUAAUGAGGCGAACCGGGGGAACUGAAACAUCUAAGUACCCCGAGGAAAAGAAAUCAACCGAGAUUCCCCCAGUAGCGGCGAGCGAACGGGGAGCAGCCCAGAGCCUGAAUCAGUGUGUGUGUUAGUGGAAGCGUCUGGAAAGGCGCGCGAUACAGGGUGACAGCCCCGUACACAAAAAUGCACAUGCUGUGAGCUCGAUGAGUAGGGCGGGACACGUGGUAUCCUGUCUGAAUAUGGGGGGACCAUCCUCCAAGGCUAAAUACUCCUGACUGACCGAUAGUGAACCAGUACCGUGAGGGAAAGGCGAAAAGAACCCCGGCGAGGGGAGUGAAAAAGAACCUGAAACCGUGUACGUACAAGCAGUGGGAGCACAGAGCAAUCUGUGUGACUGCGUACCUUUUGUAUAAUGGGUCAGCGACUUAUAUUCUGUAGCAAGGUUAACCGAAUAGGGGAGCCGAAGGGAAACCGAGUCUUAACUGGGCGUUAAGUUGCAGGGUAUAGACCCGAAACCCGGUGAUCUAGCCAUGGGCAGGUUGAAGGUUGGGUAACACUAACUGGAGGACCGAACCGACUAAUGUUGAAAAAUUAGCGGAUGACUUGUGGCUGGGGGUGAAAGGCCAAUCAAACCGGGAGAUAGCUGGUUCUCCCCGAAAGCUAUUUAGGUAGCGCCUCGUGAAUUCAUCUCCGGGGGUAGAGCACUGUUUCGGCAAGGGGGUCAUCCCGACUUACCAACCCGAUGCAAACUGCGAAUACCGGAGAAUGUUAUCACGGGAGACACACGGCGGGUGCUAACGUCCGUCGUGAAGAGGGAAACAACCCAGACCGCCAGCUAAGGUCCCAAAGUCAUGGUUAAGUGGGAAACGAUGUGGGAAGGCCCAGACAGCCAGGAUGUUGGCUUAGAAGCAGCCAUCAUUUAAAGAAAGCGUAAUAGCUCACUGGUCGAGUCGGCCUGCGCGGAAGAUGUAACGGGGCUAAACCAUGCACCGAAGCUGCGGCAGCGACGCUUAUGCGUUGUUGGGUAGGGGAGCGUUCUGUAAGCCUGCGAAGGUGUGCUGUGAGGCAUGCUGGAGGUAUCAGAAGUGCGAAUGCUGACAUAAGUAACGAUAAAGCGGGUGAAAAGCCCGCUCGCCGGAAGACCAAGGGUUCCUGUCCAACGUUAAUCGGGGCAGGGUGAGUCGACCCCUAAGGCGAGGCCGAAAGGCGUAGUCGAUGGGAAACAGGUUAAUAUUCCUGUACUUGGUGUUACUGCGAAGGGGGGACGGAGAAGGCUAUGUUGGCCGGGCGACGGUUGUCCCGGUUUAAGCGUGUAGGCUGGUUUUCCAGGCAAAUCCGGAAAAUCAAGGCUGAGGCGUGAUGACGAGGCACUACGGUGCUGAAGCAACAAAUGCCCUGCUUCCAGGAAAAGCCUCUAAGCAUCAGGUAACAUCAAAUCGUACCCCAAACCGACACAGGUGGUCAGGUAGAGAAUACCAAGGCGCUUGAGAGAACUCGGGUGAAGGAACUAGGCAAAAUGGUGCCGUAACUUCGGGAGAAGGCACGCUGAUAUGUAGGUGAAGUCCCUCGCGGAUGGAGCUGAAAUCAGUCGAAGAUACCAGCUGGCUGCAACUGUUUAUUAAAAACACAGCACUGUGCAAACACGAAAGUGGACGUAUACGGUGUGACGCCUGCCCGGUGCCGGAAGGUUAAUUGAUGGGGUCAGCGCAAGCGAAGCUCUUGAUCGAAGCCCCGGUAAACGGCGGCCGUAACUAUAACGGUCCUAAGGUAGCGAAAUUCCUUGUCGGGUAAGUUCCGACCUGCACGAAUGGCGUAAUGAUGGCCAGGCUGUCUCCACCCGAGACUCAGUGAAAUUGAACUCGCUGUGAAGAUGCAGUGUACCCGCGGCAAGACGGAAAGACCCCGUGAACCUUUACUAUAGCUUGACACUGAACAUUGAGCCUUGAUGUGUAGGAUAGGUGGGAGGCUUUGAAGUGUGGACGCCAGUCUGCAUGGAGCCGACCUUGAAAUACCACCCUUUAAUGUUUGAUGUUCUAACGUUGACCCGUGAUCCGGGUUGCGGACAGUGUCUGGUGGGUAGUUUGACUGGGGCGGUCUCCUCCUAAAGAGUAACGGAGGAGCACGAAGGUUGGCUAAUCCUGGUCGGACAUCAGGAGGUUAGUGCAAUGGCAUAAGCCAGCUUGACUGCGAGCGUGACGGCGCGAGCAGGUGCGAAAGCAGGUCAUAGUGAUCCGGUGGUUCUGAAUGGAAGGGCCAUCGCUCAACGGAUAAAAGGUACUCCGGGGAUAACAGGCUGAUACCGCCCAAGAGUUCAUAUCGACGGCGGUGUUUGGCACCUCGAUGUCGGCUCAUCACAUCCUGGGGCUGAAGUAGGUCCCAAGGGUAUGGCUGUUCGCCAUUUAAAGUGGUACGCGAGCUGGGUUUAGAACGUCGUGAGACAGUUCGGUCCCUAUCUGCCGUGGGCGCUGGAGAACUGAGGGGGGCUGCUCCUAGUACGAGAGGACCGGAGUGGACGCAUCACUGGUGUUCGGGUUGUCAUGCCAAUGGCACUGCCCGGUAGCUAAAUGCGGAAGAGAUAAGUGCUGAAAGCAUCUAAGCACGAAACUUGCCCCGAGAUGAGUUCUCCCUGACUCCUUGA
rnacentral:rRNA from 1 species